rnacentral:rRNA from 1 species
AACGAACGUUAGCGGCGCGCUUAACACAUGUAAGUCGAGCGAGAAAGGGCUUCGGCCCCGGUAAAGCGGCGCACGGGUGAGUAACACGUAGGUAAUCUGCCCCCAGGUGGUGGAUAACGUUCCGAAAGGAGCGCUAAUACAGCAUGAGACCACGUCUUCGAAAGAGGAUGGGGUCAAAGCCGGCCUCUUCAUGAAAGCUGGCGCCAGGGGAUGAGCCUGCGGCCCAUCAGCUAGUUGGUAGGGUAAUGGCCUACCAAGGCGUAGACGGGUAGCUGGUCUGAGAGGAUGAUCAGCCACACUGGAACUGAGACACGGUCCAGACUCCUACGGGAGGCAG